UACGGGGGGAGCAAGCGUUGUUCGGAUUUACUGGGCGUAAAGAGCGCGCAGGCGGUCGUUCAAGUCGCGUGUGAAAGCCCCCGGCUCAACUGGGGAGGGUCACGCGAUACUGUCCGACUCGAAGGCAGGAGAGGGAAGCGGAAUUCCCGGUGUAGUGGUGAAAUGCGUAGAUAUCGGGAGGAACACCAGUGGCGAAGGCGACUACCUGGCCUGUUCUUGACGCUGAGGCGCGAAAGUGUGGGGAGCGAACAGG
rnacentral:rRNA from 1 species